GAGUUUGAUCCUGGCUCAGAACGAACGCUGGCGGCGUGCUUAACACAUGCAAGUCGAACGUGAUCCAGAGCUUGCUCCGGUGAAAGUGGCGCACGGGUGAGUAACGCGUGGAUAACCUGCCCUGGUAUCUGGGAUAACAUCUCGAAAGGGGUGCUAAUACCGGAUAAGCCUACGGGAUCUUCGGAUUCUGCAGGAAAAGGAGGCCUCUAUUUAUAAGCUUCCGUAUCAUGAUGGGUCCGCGUACCAUUAGCUAGUUGGUGGGGUAAUGGCCUACCAAGGCGACGAUGGUUAGCUGGUCUGAGAGGAUGAUCAGCCACACUGGAACUGAGACACGGUCCAGACUCCUACGGGAGGCAGCAGUGGGGAAUUUUGCGCAAUGGGGGAAACCCUGAC
rnacentral:rRNA from 1 species